CAUCAGUAUUCAGUCGUCAGAGGUGAAAUUCUUGGAUUGACUGAAGACUAACUACUGCGAAAGCAUUUGCCAAGGACGUUUUCAUUAAUCAAGAACGAAAGUUAGGGGAUCGAAGAUGAUCAGAUACCGUCGUAGUCUUAACCAUAAACUAUGCCGACUAGGGAUCGGGUGGUGCUACUUUGCCCACUCGGCACCUUACGAGAAAUCAAAGUUUUUGGGUUCUGGGGGGAGUAUGGUCGCAAGGCUGAAACUUAAAGGAAUUGACGGAAGGGCACCACCAGGAGUGGAGCCUGCGGCUUAAUUUGACUCAACACGGGGAAACUCACCAGGUCCAGACGUAAUAAGGAUUGACAAGUUAGAGACUUCUCUUGAUCUUACGGGUGGUGGUGCAUGGCCGUUUUUAGUCCUUGGAGUGAUUUGUCUGCUUAAUUGCGAUAACGGACGAGACCUUAACCUGCUAAAUAGGGCUGCGAGCAUCUGCUCGGGUGCUCUUCUUAGAGGGACUAUGGGUAUCAAACCCAUGGAAGUUUGAGGCAACAACAGGUCUGUGAUGCCCUUAGACGUUCUGGGCC
rnacentral:rRNA from 1 species